ACAUCUGAGGCUUCCAAGAGUAGCUCAAACACAUCUUUAAAUGAAUCAAGUGCACACACGAAUGAUUUUUAUGCUUGCCUCAAUUCAAGAACCGUUUCGAUUGAAAGAAAAUCUGAACUUGAUGAGUAUUUGGAUGAGCCGAACCUAAAAUGUAUGGAUCCAAAAUUUGAUGUGUUGAAGUGGUGGAGUCAACAUUGUAGCAAGUUUCCGGUUUUGAGUAAGAUGGCGAAAGACAUUUUUGGCAUCCCGAUCACUACCGUGGCUUCCGAAUCAGCCUUUAGUGCGGGGGGGCGUAUAUUGGAUGACUACCGAAGCUCUCUUUCAAAGGAUAUGGUGGAACUUCUUGUUUGUGGAAGUGAUUGGUUAAAGGCCAGCUCAAAAACAACCUUAAAAACGUUGAAACAAGCUGCAAGAGAUGAAGAAAAAUUGGAAAUUGAUGUGUUGACUCCAGACGGGUCGGAUAACAAAUGAAAGGUUAUGUAUGUUGAUUUGAAGCGGAAUUUUGUGGAGGAGAUGACCAAGCUUUAAGAAGAUCUUUAUGGCUUUUGAGCUAGAUUUCAAUUUGUAUUUCGCACUAUAUUUUAAUGCUUUGGAUUCGAUAUUGUUAAGAACAUUUUUAGGAUCGUGAUUUCAAUUAUGUAUUGCUUUUGUUAUAGUUUAAUGCAGCCUAAAAGGUGCUGCUGGACAUGUUUUAUUAAGUCAUGAUUUCAGCUUUUUU